rnacentral:rRNA from 1 species
GAUGAACGCUGGCGGCGUGCCUAAUACAUGCAAGUCGAGCGAACAGACGAGGAGCUUGCUCCUCUGACGUUAGCGGCGGACGGGUGAGUAACACGUGGAUAACCUACCUAUAAGACUGGGAUAACUUCGGGAAACCGGAGCUAAUACCGGAUAAUAUAUUGAACCGCAUGGUUCAAUAGUGAAAGACGGUUUUGCUGUCACUUAUAGAUGGAUCCGCGCCGCAUUAGCUAGUUGGUAAGGUAACGGCUUACCAAGGCGACGAUGCGUAGCCGACCUGAGAGGGUGAUCGGCCACACUGGAACUGAGACACGGUUCAGACUCCUACGGGAGGCAGCAGUAGGGAAUCUUCCGCAAAGGGCGAAAGCCUGACGGAGCAACGCCGCGUGAGUGAUGAAGGUCUUCGGAUCGUAAAACUCUGUUAUUAGGGAAGAACAAAUGUGUAAGUAACUAUGCACGUCUUGACGGUACCUAAUCAGAAAGCCACGGCUAACUACGUG